CAAGGGCGGUAGAAAGGCUCUUUGUCUAUGCUCAGAAGCACGUCCCUCUUGCUUGCUCUUUCAUUGGUUCCGAUCGUUGAGGUUUCUGGAGUGAAAAAGUAGCUCCCGGCGCCGGGAUCUCCUGAAAACGAAGUCCUAGUUUCUGCCGAAUAAUAUGCAAAAGAGUUAAGUGGGCAGCACUUGCUGGGUCCUAGAGCCGUCCAGAUUGUUUUGGAAGGAGAGGCUUUCUCUUCCUAUAGCUGUUCUGGGACUGCAAGAUUUUUCUGGGUGAUUUAGCGGCCAAGGGGAAAAAAGGGUGCUUUGCUGGAGCCGAUGAUUAAAGUGAGACGGAAGAACUACAGUCGUAUUCUGCCCGUAAGGAAGGGAACAAAUUGGAUUAAAACCAGCUGACUUUGGGUAUAUCGACUCCGAAAGAAGUUCUACUGAAUUCAAACUGCUAUUUGCCAGAAGAACUCUGAAUGUGGUAGACAGAAGGACCUUGGCCAUCGCUUGGGUCCUUGGCUCAGGGAUCUCCACACACUAGUUCAGAAGGAGGCCUGUGAAUCCAGGUUUGAAAAUACAUUGUUGAGCUACAAGGAGAACAAAGGCUACAUUCUUGGGCCUGUCUUGGCUUCAGGAAGACCUACUGCCUGUGGUGAAGACUGAGUAGCAGGACCCAGAAGACACGUGGCCAUGGCAGAGGAACACUCUGGGAGACAGCAUGCCUGCUUUCCCUGAAAUGCAUUAUGGGAGAGUAUUGGACUGGAGCACACUCUUAUUUCAGGACAGUGAUGAGGUCCUGUUGGGCAGUGCGCCACAUGAAAUGACUGUGGAUCCUAAAUGUGCCCCAGGAUCUUCUGCAACCAGUGGAAUUCUGAAACGAAGUGACACAAGGACUUUCCUUGGGAGAUGAGUCCAUUUGGAAGAAGGGCCGUGAUUGGAGAAAAUGUGAAAUGCUGCCCUAGAAAACACGCUGUUGAAUGUCACACUGUUCACAUGAGGGUGGAGGAAGUGAGCUUGGAGGCAGCAGCGACGAUGUCGUGUACUGCACGGUGCAGCUUUUCUGGCUCCCAGAACCAUCCUGGAAGUCUCCUGGAAAGAACCCCUAGAACCACAGCAUGACCUGUGAACCCAGCGAAGAACCUCAGUCCCCACAGGAAGUGGGUAAUGACUUGGUCUUUGUGUGGGAAAUCCUUGGAUCAGAACCAGAUGACAUGUAGAAAGAACUGUAAUGACCUCUGACAUCUUGGACCACAACCUCCAGCCAGCCUAGGAGCAUGCCUUGUGGUUACUGCGUUGGGAACUGUAGUCCAAAACUUUUGGAGGGCACCAUGUUGAGGAAGACUGAUCUAGGCUGUCUUCUGCAAGAUUGGGCAACUUGUGGCCCACCAGAUGUUGUGGGUUGAACUCCCAUCACUCCUAGUCAAAAUAGCCAGUGGGGAGGGAUCCUGGGAACUGUAGGCUAAAAUACCUGUUUCUCACAUCUAUAUUGUGGAAAAUAGCCAAAAGCUGUUGUGUAGCUAUUGACUCAGGAAUCACACUGAAGUAAUGAUACUAACAUAAAGUAAGAAUAUCCCCCUUUCCCAGCAUACUCCGGUAUCUGUGUUUCACUCUCCUCUCUGGUUGUUCACUGUUUUUACUUAUCUUUGCAUAUUGCACCUUUUUUUCCAGGAUGAAGACAUUUUUAUUCUCAGAACAGUUUUUUGAGUUAGGUUAAGCUGAGAGUUACUAAUUGAUUUCUCUGUGUUAUGUUUUUUAAAAAUCCCAUGCUUAGGUAUACUUAUUUUUUUCCUGCCCCUCAUUAUCUUCACAAUAACUCAGCAAGGUACAUUAGGUUGAGAAAGAGUGACUGGCCCAAGGAGACCCAGUGAGUGUCACGGCCUUGAUUUCAAGUUCAACCCUCUGCCAGCUAUGUUACAGUUCCUCUCAAUCAUUAUUUGCCCCAGGUCACCCAGUGAGUAGGGAUUUGAACUUGGGUCUCGCUGUAACUCAGGUGUGGGCAGCCUGAGUUAAAGCUUCCAGGAUGUAUUAAGACCUGGAGUUCUGCCAGCUAGUGCCAGAUACAUAACAGUACCUGGGAGAUGGGUGCAAAUGAAAUUUGUGAGGUUUGGAAGUUAGUACCAGGAAAACCAAGCAGAAUUUUCUAUUGUUAGAUAGGAUGAAGAGGUGGAUAUGCACACACAAAAUGAGAAGGGAGCAGAGUAGAAUGGGAAAGAAGUGCUGGUUGCAAUGCAGAAUAUCAGAGCAUGGCUGAACAAGCAUAACAAGGAGCACUGUGGAAAUAUUAGGGGCCUCCUUCCUAAGUUUGUAAUCCAUGCUAAAAAUGGCACAAUACACUGGCCAGGGCAUGUACCUGCUCAGGUGUGACGCAUAGAAAAAAACAGCUGAUACAGGCAUUCUGAUUUUUCUCAUUGCAUUCAACCUUCCUUGCAGACCUUCUUUCUUUGCUCCUUUGGGUUGCUCUGCCCUGGACAGGUUUCAAGAGCUGCUUUCCUUGAAAGGGGCAAGCUGGUUCAAGUGGGACACAAAUCUGCUCUUUCGCACACCGGUAUGCUUCUCGGUUCAGGAAGCCUUUCGAGGAGGUUUGUUCAGGUUACACCUUGUGGUAAUUCAAGCCCUUCACUGGUAUGAGCUCUAACUGGUUUAGUGGGUGGGUGUUGGGCUGCCUGCCCAGGCAACACCCCCAGGAUAACACAUGAUAUUGUUACAGACUUGUGAUUUGUGGGCUUAUAUACAAAGGACUUUCUCUGGUUUACACUGGGCGUCUAUGGGAAGACUGGGGGAGAGUUAGGGGGCUGCGCCGAGAGAGGGGUUCUACUUUCCACUCAGCCGUGAAGCUCACGGGGGGAGGAAAAAUGACAGGGAACAGGGAACAAAUUCAUCAUAUGCCCACUUUUUGCUGCCUCUCCUCAAUCCCCACAAACACUGGUAAUGCAAGCUAUGGGUCUGAAUCCAUUUUGAGCCUCUUUUUAAUUACAGGAAGCCCCUUUACUAGGAAUAAUUUGAUUGUGGUGAUGGGAGUAUCACUUGGAUUUAUUUGGUUUCUGAAAUCUCAGCAGGUGCCAUGAUGACCAGCUGAGCUACUAAUAGUCUACCUGAAGAGUUCUUGGAGGUACCCCAGGAUCUAUACAGGUGAGGCAACCUCCUCCGACUGGAAGGAGAACAGCUAGGUGAGCGGGAUGGCUGCUCAGAAGCUGAACCCACUAUCCAACGAAAGAGGGCCAAGAAGAGGUUUGAGGGUCCUCCUGUCACAAAGCACAGAUGUGAAGGUGGUGUUGCAGUAAGCAAAGGACACAGGAAGCCAAGCUCGGCCAGUCUUUGGGGGGUGCGGGACCUCAGCAGAGCUGUGAGUGUGGGGGAAGUUCCUGCCCACCUUUCGCAAGGAGAUCCAGCGGUGGAGCAGCCCCUCCUUUGCACCAUUUGUGCGAAGAGAUUCGCUUGGCUGUGUCACCUCAUCACCCACCUGAGGGUCCACUUGGGCGAGAAGCCGUACCUCUGUAGCAAGUGAGGGAAGCGAUACAAGGAUACUUCCAACUUCUACCAUCACCUCCUAGCCCAGAAGCCUUACCAAUGUCUGACGUGUGGGAAAACCUUUGGGGAUCUGUCCAAUUUUUAUAAACACCAAAAGAGGCACUGAAGAGACAGGCCUUACACUUGUGACCUGUUUGGAGACUGCUUCAGCAAGAAGGGGGACCUCCUCUCUCUCCAGGGAAUUCAUGUACCCUCUCUAUAUGGACAAGAGAGCUGAAUGAAGCACGAACAAGCACUGGCUGAAUUGCUCGAUGCUCUUGCUUGCACGUUGUGGUAUUCUGCCAUUGUGAGGAGCAUAAGCUGUUGAUGAACAGACUAAAAAAAUCAGUCUUUUUCCUUAGGUCACUUUCAUCAAGAAUUCAAAUAAAGCAUGAUUAUUGCCAUCAUUUAGUACAGCACCUCUUCAAAGAAAGGGAAUUACAGUGCACCAAACCAUCAUUUCGCUAUUCGGGUGUCAUGUAAAUUUCACCAUUCUCUGCUGGAAGCUUGUGCUGAAACUGGUUACCUUGAUUGUUCUCCCAGGCCUCCCCCCAAACUCAUCUUCCUUGUGAAGUUGCAGGCUGAAGGGGACAGGUUUGGGCUGUACUCAAACCAUGGUAAAACAAAACAAAUUUGUCUGGGCAAUUCUCAGGUUAAUGUUUGUUUAUUGCCUGGACCGUAAGGAAAAACAAACAAGCUGUAGCAUAGAAACAACUUUGGAGAAGCACUGCUUCCUCUACUAGCUCAUGUAUGGAUUUUCAUGGUGUAAACUCAUGAAAUAAUCUUUAAAUGACCUUGAGUUAAUACUUCACAUUUUAAAAAAGUUUUAUAUUUACACCUUCCUCCCUAGUGAUUUUGGAGAUUACUUGAUCACUUUUCCUUGUCACUUUUAUUGUUGCCACUUUUGGUUGAGUGGCUCACAAUGCAGGACAUAUUCUGGGCUUAGCUGCACUUUGUUCCCACUGAAAUCAAGGGGAAUUUAUUCAUGUUUUAUGUUGAUUUCAGUGGGACCAAAGGCUUGUGGAGAAAGGUCUGAGAACAUGCCUGGGUGUCUGCAGAUGGAGGACCCCUGAUCAGAAGGCAUUGCAUCUCUUUUCUCCUUAGCAGAUUUUCCUGUGGUAAGAAAAACAAAACCAGAAAUGGUGGAAAAAAGUAGGAGGGCUGUGAGCAGAAGAGGUUGCCCGGGUGCCCUGUAAAUUCUGUGAACGGGGAAAGGCACUGGCACAAUCAAAGCUAAUCUGGAAGCAUCCUCUGUCUCAUCGGGCAUCUUCUGUAUGUGCAUGAUGAUUUAGUGUCCCACUGCAUCCAGUCUGUCUGUUCUAAUGACAUCCAUGAGCACAGACUGGAAUUGUUACACUAAGAUUUGGUUGCGAGGAGCAGUAGGGAAAUCUGUUCGUCUCACUUUUACCUCCACCUCCUUGUGCAUAAAUAAACCCCAGAAUAUAUAUUUUUAUGGCUUGGAAACUCCACAGAGGGUGUUCCAGACAAGGGUGUUUUCCUGACUGCCUUUCCCUGUUCACAGAAUGUUCUGGUCCAGGUGGCAUCAUCUACUUGUGAUGCUCCCAGGUGCCCUCCUAGCUGCUUCUGUCUUUUUCCUUAGCAAAGAAAAUCCACAAAGAGGCAAAGAUGGGAUGCGUGCACAGUGCCUUCUGAUUGCUACCUCUAAGAGCCCUUGUCUGAAGCAGCUGGUCUCUGGAAGGAAUUGUUUUGGAUUGGGUGGUGAGGGAACUCCAUGUGCAAAUGCCUGUAACAGCCCUGCCUGACCCAGUCCCUCCCUCAGUUCUCUGUAUACUCCAAAUCCUAUUUUUCUACUCUCCCAGAUUUGAAACCUGUGGGUGGACAAAGCAAUUCACGACAGAGAAAUGGCAUGCAGGGAACAAAUUUAUUUUUAUUUUUAUUUGAUCUCUAUAUUGCACUGUGAGCCGCCCAGAGAGCUUUUGGCUAUGGAGCAGCAUACAAAUGUGAUGAACAAACAUAGUUGCUGAUUCUUUAGUUCAAAUCCACCCUUCUGAAACUUCUUUGAUUGUGCGUUGUAAAUAAUUUGUAAUUCUCUCCUAAGAAGUGCAGUCAGAUUUGUGGAAGGAAGGAAGGGAAGGGAAGGGAAGAGAAACUGUGCCGCAAACGUAUGGAUUUAGCGCCCUCUGGUGUCUAGGUCCAGAAAUGACUAGCUGUGCUAAAGCUAACCUUUCCUAUGCAUUUCCACCACUGCACCUUACGCAGGGUGGCCUGUCCUGCAUUUGAAGGGAUUUUCUGCGUGAAGCGCUGAUCCGUUCAGUUGGAUUUCAAGAUAAAGAACUAUCAGCAGGGAGAAGUGGGCUUUGAAGUUCCCCAUCCCCACCACCUAGGCAUCUGCUCCUUGUCUUCUAUGCUACAGUGAGAUGUACUGCAUUUCCCUUUAAAUUACAGUAACUUUGUCUACAUUGUAGACAGCUGUAGAGAGCCAUUUUGGCUAAUGGGUACUGUAGAAACAAAAUAAUAAAAUAAAUGUGCAUCUAUAUGGAUAAAGCAGCAAAUGUACACUGUGCACAUUUCUGUCCUCUUUGGUGAUGCAUUUCCACUUUUCCUGGAAAAAGUGCCACUCUAAUUGAGAGUAAAGAGUUAACCUAUACAUAAAUAAUAAAAAAGAGCUCAUCUCAAAUCUUUCAUCUUCAUAUGGUCUGAGGUGCCUCAUCUUGCCUAAUCUUGGAAGCUAAGCAGAGUCUGGCUUGGUUGAAAACUGGAUGGGAGACUUAAAUGUUGUGAACUGCCCAGAGAACUUUGGCUAUGAGCGAUAUAGAAAUGUAAUAAUAUUUUUUUUCAGUGUCAGGUUAGGAUGACUCUCUUUUCAGAGGCUUUUAAAGACUUGCUUGGCCACCCAGAGCUUGAGAGGAACCACCAGGUGUUUUGCAGAAUCAAUAUCUCUCCCCUCCCCGCCUCAAUUAUUCCUUGUUAUUGUCUGUCUGUAGCUGUUUUAAACUUUUUAUUUUUCCCUGAUUUUAUGAACUUUUUAUUGUACUUUUAUCAUCUUCUUUCCUGUACUCUGCAAAUCGCCCAAAGAUCUUCACUGUGGGGCAGUCUAGAAGGGAAAUAAAUAAAUCUCCAAUGUUCAUGUCAAGUAUUUCCUUAUGCAGAAGACACUAUUUUAGGAAGGUACCUCUUUCCACCCUUCACACUCUCUAACCUCUUUGCCUGACCAAUCCUCAUGUUUACAGAGAUCCAAAUGUAUAAAACAUUUUUUUUUAAUCUCAGUGCUGAAGUCACAGUGUGGAGGGAGGGAUCGGGGGCUGUCCUAAGUGUUCUUGAAGAGGCUUGUAGGUUUCUGGCUGAGCUGGGAUAGGUGGCAAAUACAACGAAGAAGAAGUGCCAGUAAGAAUGAGCCUGAAGACUCCCGUUUGCCAGCAAUGAGCAUCCUGUGCCUGAUUUGUAAGUCACAAGAGCAAACUGGAAAGGAUGGUCUUUCUAGAGGGCUGUAGGAACCCCUGGUACCAAAGGCAUACAAAAUGUGGGUUGGACUGGACUGAUAGGGAAAGCACAGGGAAAUUAUUGCAAAAGAGGGUGAGGUUUGUAUAUUUGCAUGUUAUAUGCUUCUCCUAAAAAUAAAUGAACAAAGGUACAACAAAUAGCUGUAAGUGAUAGGUAGAAAAAACUCAAUUUGCUACAUCUCCAUCUGCAAAAUAUUAUCAAUUGGUGCAGCUCAUGAAAUGCUAGUUGAAUAACAGUCAUUCAUGGCAGAUAGAAUUUGCUUUAGCCUAUUUAAAACAAACAUAUUGGGAAAAUGGUGAAUGCCCAGUAAAAUUUAGGCCCAUUGGCUCAAGCAGCAAAAACAUCAAAAUAUCUUUUGACAGCUAAAGAUGAUACUGGUAAGAUAUAUUUUCAUCCUGAAGAUAUAUUUCUCAAUUUUUAUUCAGAAUUCUGAAAUAUCAAAACAACAUGUGGAAGCUGUCUUUUCUAAUUUCAAUCUUCCCUGUUUAGUUCACAAAAGCAGGUUUUUUUCCUUCACAUAUUGAAGAAAUUUCAAAAUCAGUAAGUGCUGUGCUGUCUUCUUGUAGGUAUAUUACCGACUGCUGUCUGGUGUUUGGAUGAAGAUACCCAUGGAAAAGAUUUAGAAAUAUGCAGCAUUCCGGGUGUCCUCCCGCCACCAGAGCUGUUCCUGAACAUGUCCUCAGCUCACGUAGGGGAUAUUGUCUUGGCACGCUGCAAAGCCCCUUCUAACACCUCUGACAUAAAAAUAUUUUUGUGCAAGGAUGGGCAUUCCCUUUCAGCCCAAAAGGGGGUCUCAGACAAUCUUGUAUACACUUUCUCUCUCUCAGUCAAUGAACAGAGUGCUGGACUUUAUUACUGUGGGUAUCAGCACAGGCGUUGGAAUAACCAGAGGCAGAAUUCCAUCCUCAGUGACGCUUGGAAUUUGACUGUCCUGUCAGGCGCAGCAAUACCUCUGCAUAUCUGGAUUCUCCGCUGCAUCAUAGUGCUUCUCCUCCUGGGCUCAUCAUUCAUCUUCAACUUUAUUUUGGAAAAAUGUUGCUGAAACAUGGUCUGAACCUGAAACUUCUGAAACUCACAUAAGAAUGAGCACAAUGCUUUGGAACCUAUGUCCAUCACAGUUUGCUUGAGCACCAGGCAAAUCUCACUAUAUGUAGUACCAUUAUAGUAGGGCUGAGUGGAAAAAAGCUAGAGCACGUGUUUUAAGUGAGGAGGGCUGAAUGGCCCCCACAGGCUCUCUGUGUGACAUUUUCCCUUUCCCUUAUUGGCAGAGCAAACCAAUAGCACAUUCGAGGUGGGGAGGCUGAAUGGUCCCCACAGACAGUUUCCCUUUCUCUGUGUGGAAGAGACAUGGAGCCAGGGCCUGGCAGGCAUGGGAGGAGCAGCAAAGUUUCCCAGCAAGGACCAGAUUCCAACUUGAGCACUCAUGGGGUGGUACAAGUUGUUUCCCUGGGUGCAGCGUGCUCACUGAUGAAGGGCUCCGAUGGCCUGGGAAGAGGGGCUUCUCCCGGCACCAGUCCAGUCCCUGGCCACCUGCAUCCCUGCUGGAACCCCCUGGCCCACGAUGGGAGAGCAGCACACAGGCGAAGCCCCUCUGCAAUCUCCGGCUGCAAAUUGGAGAUAGUCAGGAAGUCUUUUGAUGCCGAGGCAGGAUUAGGCCUGUGGGUCAGCAGUUCCCCAUCACUGCCAUACAGUAUAUAGGUGCCAGGAUCCAUCACCUGCACUAUCACAUUUCUUUGUGAAGACAGAGUAAUUUGGAUGCAUGGGAAAAAUACCGUUUAGAGAAACAAAUGUCCUCAGAGGUUGUUGCCCACUGAGCUCAGUCCCCUCCCCAAAUCCUGACCCUCUGGCCUUUUCAGCUUAAUUUUCAUCAAGGACCUGAUGGAGAGUCCCUGCACCCAGCCUCCCCUGCACACUGGGGCUCCAAGCAGGUCACAUAUUCGCUUCCCACUAAACCAAUAUGCAAAAUGAUUCAUAAACCCAGUUGGGUUGAAUAUGAUGUGGUUGAUGAUGUGGUUGUUUCCCACAGUGGUGUCACCUCCUUUAGUCCCCAGAUCAACUGGCUGUUUAAAUCAGUGUGUGGUUUGAACCACUCAGAUAAUUUGAACAUUAAUACCAGUUUAAGUGAAAUGUUUUUUGAGCUGCAAUGGGAAAAGGUAACAUAUUUGAAAGCAAUGCACCUGGUUUUGCACUGAGCCCAUAAAUAAAUUAAGACAAUCAACCUUAGGCUAGAUGCUACCUGGUUGGAUGCUCUUGUAUGAUUCUGAGAUAAAUGUUUGCAGUGGGGCAUCAGUGGAGAUGGCAUGGCAAUAAAGCAAAAAUGUGUGGAUGAAUGGACAAAUAAAAUAUGUACUUCCUUCUUGG